GCCAUGUCCAUUUUCUGUUGCUGCAAUUAAAAAUCAGUCGAUACAAAAUCAAAAUGUUGUACAUUCUUCCCCUAUCCCUUUCCCUGUCUCUGUUUCCAGCUUCACCGGAAGAACAUGUCACUAUGGCAACCAACCCCUCCAGUGCACAGACCAAGUCAACCUUUCUAGUCAGACUGCCAAGCAGAGCAACAGGGAAUCAAAGCUCUGAAUGGAACCGCCAGAAACCAUGAAUUCCAUCCCCCUUUCUCUAAGUGGGGUUAACCAACACAAGAAGGGAUACCUCUCUUAUUCUAGAAGGCAUUCAAGGAAGGAAAAACCUUGUUGAUAUUCGAUGCACAGAAGUCACUACAGUCAACCACUGUUUCAGAAGGAGACAUAAAGAAUUGUGAUAUGAUGCUGCUGGUCAGCUGGCUUGGAGCUGCUUACAGGACAGGGGCUGUGAUUUAUUGAUGUUUAUAUGACCAGUGCCUACACCAUAUCUGGUAUAGUAUAGCGCUCAGCAAACGUUUCUGGUAUGAAUAAGGCCUUCUCUGUGAAAUGUUUCCCCCAAUUUUCCUUGAUUAAAUCAGUUCAACAAAAAUUAGGAACCUGUCUACCCCUGACACAUGACUCCUAAAGGGCUUCCUUUAAGAGCACAAACAACGUUCCAGAUUCCCUUCUUCUCAGAGGCUGAUGAAGCAUUAUCCUGGAUAAGAACCCUGGACCAUGAGGUUCCACUCGAAUCCCGACAGAGACGCGCGAAAGGAGAGGCAGGGGAGAGAGUUAAGCCUGCACCAAGCUUCAUUAACAGCUAUUGGGAGGCAAGUCCUGGCCCCGAGGCUCAGCCAGGCCUGGAUAACCGGACCGCCUGGAACCCAGAGACCUGAUAGCCUGUGGCCUGGGAAGGAGACGCGAG
rnacentral:lncRNA from 1 species